UACAGAGGGGGCAAGCGUUAUUCGGAAUUACUGGGCGUAAAGCGUGCGCAGGCGGCUUUGCAAGACAGAUGUGAAAUCCCCGGGCUUAACCUGGGAACUGCAUUUGUGACUGCAUGGCUGGAGUGCGGCAGAGGGGGAUGGAAUUCCGCGUGUAGCAGUGAAAUGCGUAGAUAUGCGGAGGAACACCGAUGGCGAAGGCAAUCCCCUGGGCCUGCACUGACGCUCAUGCACGAAAGCGUGGGGAGCAAACAGG
rnacentral:rRNA from 1 species